AAUGAACGUUGGCGGCAUGGAUUAGGCAUGCAAGUCGCGCGAUAAGAUUCCUUCGGGAAUCCGAAAGCGGCGAAAGGGAGAGUAACGCGUAGAUGAUCUACCCCGAGGACUGGGAUAGCGGCGGGAAACUGCCGGUAAUACCAGAUGAUGUCUCCGGACCAAAGGUGUGAUUCCGCCUUGGGAUGAAUCUGCGUCCUAUUAGCUAGUUGGUGAGGUAACGGCUCACCAAGGCGAAGAUGGGUACCGGGUGUGAGAGCAUGACCCGGCUCACUGGGACUGAGAUACUGCCCAGACACCUACGGGUGGCUGCAGUCGAGAAUCUUCCGCAAUGGGCGAAAGCCUGACGGAGCGAUGCCGCGUGCGGGAUGAAGGCCU
rnacentral:rRNA from 1 species